GACGAACGCUGGCGGCGUGCUUAACACAUGCAAGUCGAGCGGAAAGGCCCUUUCGGGGGUACUCGAGCGGCGAACGGGUGAGUAACACGUGAGUAAUCUGCCCUUGGCUUUGGGAUAACCACCGGAAGCGGUGGCUAAUACCGGAUAUGACGCGACCCGGCAUCGGGGUGUGUGGAAAGUUUUUUCGGCCAGGGGUGUGCCCGCGGCCUAUCAGCUUGUUGGUGGGGUAAUGGCCUACCAAGGCUUCGACGGGUAGCCGGCCUGAGAGGGUGACCGGCCACACUGGGACUGAGACACGGCCCAGACUCCUACGGGAGGCAGCAGUGGGGAAUAUUGGACAAUGGGCGGAAGCCUGAUCCAGCAACGCCGCGUGAGGGAUGACGGCCCUCGGGUUGUAAACCUCUUUCAGUACCGACGAAGCGCCGAUGAUGGUGGUGACGGUAGGUACAGAAGAAGCACCGGCCAACUACGUGCCAGCCGCCGCCGUAA
rnacentral:rRNA from 1 species